AAUAGUCAAACAAAUUAAUGAUGGGGCCACCUCAAGAGUAGAUUCACCCCAAUUCAGAGAUGUCUCAGUUGAUCAGUUUUCUGUCAAUCAGGAGAACAGGAAAAAUGAAAUAUGCAAUUAUAGUUGGGGAGGCAGUACCUCUUCAUUCUUUCAUCCCAGCUGAAGCAGAAGAGUCUUAAUUGCUUGGAAAAAUAAGAUUUUUGUUUC
rfam:Echinops telfairi cont1.400227, whole genome shotgun sequence.